rnacentral:rRNA from 1 species
GCAAAACGCGAAGAACCUUACCCACCUUUGACAUGUACGGAAUCCUUUAGAGAUAGAGGAGUGCUCGAAAGAGAGCCGUAACACAGGUGCUGCAUGGCUGUCGUCAGCUCGUGUCGUGAGAUGUUGGGUUAAGUCCCGCAACGAGCGCAACCCUUGCCAUUAGUUGCUACAUUUAGUUGAGCACUCUAAUGGGACUGCCGGUGACAAACCGGAGGAAGGUGGGGAUGACGUCAAGUCCUCAUGGCCCUUAUAGCCUGGGCUACACACGUGCUACAAUGGUCGGUACAGAGGGUUGCCAAGCCGCGAGGUGGAGCUAAUCUCACAAAACCGAUCGUAGUCCGGAUCGCAGUCUGCAACUCGACUGCGUGAAGUCGGAAUCGCUAGUAAUCGCGAAUCAGAAUGUCGCGGUGAAUACGUUCCCGGGUCUUGUACACACCG